AUGCAAGUCGAGCGAACAGGACGAGAGUGCUUGCACUCUCUGAUGUUAGCGGCGGACGGGUGAGUAACACGUGGGUAACCUACCUAUAAGACUGGGAUAACUUCGGGAAACCGGAGCUAAUACCGGAUAAUAUCUAGCUUCGCAUGAAGCGAUAGUGAAAGACGGUUCUGCUGUCACUUAUAGAUGGACCCGCGGUGUAUUAGCUAGUUGGUGAGGUAACGGCUCACCAAGGCAACGAUACAUAGCCGACCUGAGAGGGUGAUCGGCCACACUGGGACUGAGACACGGCCCAGACUCCUACGGGAGGCAGCAGUAGGGAAUCUUCCGCAAUGGACGAAAGUCUGACGGAGCAACGCCGCGUGAGUGAAGAAGGUUUUCGGAUCGUAAAACUCUGUUGUAAGGGAAGAACAAGUACGUUAGUAACUGAACGUACCUUGACGGUACCUUACCAGAAAGCCACGGCUAACUACGUGCCAGCAGCCGCGGUAAUACGUAGGUGGCAAGCGUUAUCCGGAAUUAUUGGGCGUAAAGCGCGCGUAGGCGGUCUCUUAAGUCUGAUGUGAAAGCCCCCGGCUCAACCGGGGAGGGUCAUUGGAAACUGGGAGACUUGAGUGCAGAAGAGGAGAGUGGAAUUCCAUGUGUAGCGGUGAAAUGCGCAGAGAUAUGGAGGAACACCAGUGGCGAAGGCGGCUCUCUGGUCUGUAACUGACGCUGAGGUGCGAAAGCGUGG
rnacentral:rRNA from 1 species